GAAAUGCGAUAAGUAGUGUGAAUUGCAGAAUUCAGUGAAUCAUCGAAUCUUUGAACGCACAUUGCGCCCCUCGGUAUUCCGUGGGGCAUGCCUGUUCGAGCGUCAUCUACACCCUCAAGCUCUGCUUGGUGUUGGGCGUCUGUCCCGCCUCCUUCGCGCGCGGACUCGCCCCAAAUCCAUUGGCGGCGGCCCUUGCCUCCCUCUCGCGCAGCACAUUGCGCUUCUCGAGGCGCGGCGGACCGCGUCCAGCAAGCAACCGUCACACCGUCUUUGACCUCGGAUCAGGUAGGGAUACCCUCUGAACUUAAGC
rnacentral:misc_RNA from 1 species